rnacentral:rRNA from 1 species
UACGUAGGGUGCGAGCGUUGUCCGGAAUUAUUGGGCGUAAAGAGCUCGUAGGUGGUUUGUCGCGUUGUCCGUGAAAACUCACAACUCAAUUGUGGGCGUGCGGGCGAUACGGGCAGACUGGAGUACUGCAGGGGAGACUGGAAUUCCUGGUGUAGCGGUGGAAUGCGCAGAUAUCAGGAGGAACACCGGUGGCGAAGGCGGGUCUCUGGGCAGUAACUGACGCUGAGGAGCGAAAGCGUGGGGAGCGAACAGG